UACAGAGGUCCCAAGCGUUGUUCGGAUUCAUUGGGCGUAAAGGGUGCGUAGGCGGCGCGGUAAGUCGGGUGUGAAAUCUCGGAGCUUAACUCCGAAACUGCAUUCGAUACUUCCGUGCUUGAGGACUGGAGAGGAGACUGGAAUUUACGGUGUAGCGGUGAAAUGCGUAGAUAUCGUAAGGAAGACCAGUGGCGAAGGCGGGUCUCUGGACAGUUCCUGACGCUGAGGCACGAAGGCCAGGGGAGCAAACGGG
rnacentral:rRNA from 1 species